CUGGGAUUGCCUUAGUAACGGCGAGUGAAGCGGCAAUAGCUCAAAUUUGAAAGCUGGCGCCUUCGGCGUCCGCGUUGUAAUUUGUAGAGGAUGCUUCGGCGAGGACUCCUGCCUAAGUUCCCUGGAAUGGGACGUCACAGAGGGUGAGAAUCCCGUAUGUGGCGGGCGGUCCAAGCCAUGUGAAGCUCCUUCGACGAGUCGAGUUGUUUGGGAAUGCAGCUCUAAAUGGGAGGUAAAUUUCUUCUAAAGCUAAAUACCGGCCAGAGACCGAUAGCGCACAAGUAGAGUGAUCGAAAGAUGAAAAGCACUUUGGAAAGAGAGUUAAAAAGUACGUGAAAUUGUUGAAAGGGAAGCGCUUGCAACCAGACUCGCUCGCAGUUGCUCAGCCCGCCUCCUGGCGGGUGUACUCUUCUGCGAUCGGGCCAGCAUCAGUUCGGGCGGCCGGAUAAAGGUGUCGGGAAUGUAGCACCCUUCGGGGUGUGUUAUAGCCCGGCGCGGAAUGCGGCCAGCCUGGACUGAGGAUCUCGCUUCGGCAAGGAUGCUGGCGUAAUGGUUGUAAGCGGCCCGUCUUGAAACACGGACCAAGGAGUCUAACAUCUAUGCGAGUGUUUGGGGUGUCAAACCCAUGCGCGUAAUGAAAGUGAACGGAGGUGGGGAACCCCGCAAGGGUGCACCAUCGACCGAUCCUGAUGUCUUCGGGAUGGAUUUGAGUAAGAGCAUAGCUGUUGGGACCCGAAAGAUGGUGAACUAUGCCUGAAUAGGGUGAAGCCAGAGGAAACUCUGGUGGAGGCUCGCAGCGGUUCUGACGUGCAAAUCGAUCGUCAAAUUUGGGUAUAGGGGCGAAAGACUAAUCGAACCAUCUAGUAGCUGGUCUGCA
rnacentral:rRNA from 1 species